rnacentral:rRNA from 1 species
AUUAAAGUGGUACGCGAGCUGGGUUCAGAACGUCGUGAGACAGUUCGGUCCCUAUCCGUCGCAGGCGUAGGAAAUUUGAGAAGACCUGUCCUUAGUACGAGAGGACCGGGAUGGACGUACCGCUGGUGUACCAGUUGUUCUGCCAAGGGCAUGGCUGGGUAGCUAUGUACGGAAUGGAUAAGCGCUGAAAGCAUCUAAGCGCGAAGCCAACUUCAAGAUAAGAUUUCCCACCGCAAGGGUAAGACCCCAGAAAGACUAUCUGGUUGAUAGGUCGAAGGUGUAAGUGCAGCAAUGUAUUUAGCUUAUCGAUACUAAUAGGUCGAGGACUUGACCAAAUU